GAUGAACGCUGGCGGCGUGCCUAAUACAUGCAAGUCGAGCGAACGGACGAGAAGCUUGCUUCUCUGAUGUUAGCGGCGGACGGGUGAGUAACACGUGGAUAACCUACCUAUAAGACUGGGAUAACUUCGGGAAACCGGAGCUAAUACCGGAUAAUAUUUUGAACCGCAUGGUUCAAAAGUGAAAGACGGUCUUGCUGUCACUUAUAGAUGGAUCCGCGCUGCAUUAGCUAGUUGGUAAGGUAACGGCUUACCAAGGCAACGAUGCAUAGCCGACCUGAGAGGGUGAUCGGCCACACUGGAACUGAGCCACGGUCCAGACUCCUACGGGAGGCAGAGGUAGGGAAUCUUCCGCAAUGGGCGAAAGCCUGACGGAGCAACGCCGCGUGAGUGAUGAAGGUCUUCGGAUCGUAAAACUCUGUUAUUAGGGAAGAACAUAUGUGUAAGUAACUGUGCACAUCUUGACGGUACCGAAUCAGAAAACCACGGCUAACUACGU
rnacentral:rRNA from 1 species